GACAGAGGUCCCGAGCGUUAGGCGGAAUCACUGGGCUUAAAGCGUGUGUAGGCGGAUUGGUAAGUACCUUGUGAAAUCCCACGGCUCAACCGUGGAACUGCUUGGUAUACUGCUUAUCUUGGGCCACUUAGGGGCUACCGGAACAAACGGUGGAGCGGUGAAAUGCGUAGAUAUCGUUUGGAACGCCAGUGGUGAAAACAGGUAGCUGGGAGUGUGCCGACGCUGAGACACGAAAGCCAGGGGAGCGAACGGG
rnacentral:rRNA from 1 species